GAUUUGUGGCUCAGUGGUAGAGUGCUUUCCUGACAUGGGUGAGGCCCUGAGUUCAAUCCUCAGCACCA
rnacentral:tRNA from 1 species